rnacentral:rRNA from 1 species
GUGAAGAGUUUGAUCCUGGCUCAGAGUGAACGCUGGCGGUAGGCCUAACACAUGCAAGUCGAACGGCAGCACAGGAGAGCUUGCUCUCUGGGUGGCGAGUGGCGGACGGGUGAGGAAUACAUCGGAAUCUACUCUGUCGUGGGGGAUAACGUAGGGAAACUUACGCUAAUACCGCAUACGACCUACGGGUGAAAGUGGGGGACCGCAAGGCCUCACGCGAUUGAAUGAGCCGAUGUCGGAUUAGCUAGUUGGCGGGGUAAAGGCCCACCAAGGCGACGAUCCGUAGCUGGUCUGAGAGGAUGAUCAGCCACACUGGAACUGAGACACGGUCCAGACUCCUACGGGAGGCAGCAGUGGGGAAUAUUGGACAAUGGGCGCAAGCCUGAUCCAGCCAUACCGCGUGAGUGAAGAAGGCCCUCGGGUUGUAAAGCUCUUUUGUUGGGAAAGAAAUCCUGCCGGUUAAUACCUGGCAGGGAUGACGGUACCCAAAGAAUAAGCACCGGCUAACUUCGUGCCAGCAGCCGCGGUAAUACGAAGGGUGCAAGCGUUACUCGGAAUUACUGGGCGUAAAGCGUGCGUAGGUGGUUGUUUAAGUCUGUCGUGAAAGCCCUGGGCUCAACCUGGGAAUUGCGAUGGAUACUGGGCAACUAGAGUGUGGUAGAGGGUGGCGGAAUUCCCGGUGUAGCAGUGAAAUGCGUAGAGAUCGGGAGGAACAUCCGUGGCGAAGGCGGCCACCUGGGCCAACACUGACACUGAGGCACGAAAGCGUGGGGAGCAAACAGGAUUAGAUACCCU